AGAGUUUGAUCCUGGCUCAGGAUGAACGCCGGCGGUGUGCUCUAAUACAUGCAAGUCGUACGCACUGGCCCAACUGAUUCAAUGGUGCUUGCACCUGAUUGACGAUGGAUCACCAGUGAGUGGCGGACGGGUGAGUAACACGUAGGUAACCUGCCCCGGAGCGGGGGAUAACAUUUGGAAACAGAUGCUAAUACCGCAUAACAACAAAAGCCACAUGGCUUUUGUUUGAAAGAUGGCUUCGGCUAUCACUCUGGGAUGGACCUGCGGUGCAUUAGCUAGUUGGUAAGGUAACGGCUUACCAAGGCGAUGAUGCAUAGCCGAGUUGAGAGACUGAUCGGCCACAAUGGAACUGAGACACGGUCCAUACUCCUACGGGAGGCAGCAGUAGGGAAUCUUCCACAAUGGGCGCAAGCCUGAUGGAGCAACACCGCGUGAGUGAAGAAGGGUUUCGGCUCGUAAAGCUCUGUUGUUGGAGAAGAACGUGCGUGAGAGUAACUGUUCACGCAGUGACGGUAUCCAACCAGAAAGUCACGGCUAACUACGUGCCAGCAGCCGCGGUAAUACGUAGGUGGCAAGCGUUAUCCGGAUUUAUUGGGCGUAAAGCGAGCGCAGGCGGUUGCUUAGGUCUGAUGUGAAAGCCUUCGGCUUAACCGAAGAAGUGCAUCGGAAACCGGGCAACUUGAGUGCAGAAGAGGACAGUGGAACUCCAUGUGUAGCGGUGGAAUGCGUAGAUAUAUGGAAGAACACCAGUGGCGAAGGCGGCUGUCUGGUCUGCAACUGACGCUGAGGCUCGAAAGCAUGGGUAGCGAACAGGAUUAGAUACCCUGGUAGUCCAUGCCGUAAACGAUGAGUGCUAGGUGUUGGAGGGUUUCCGCCCUUCAGUGCCGGAGCU
rnacentral:rRNA from 1 species